UUUCCGUAGGUGAACCUGCGGAAGGAUCAUUAAAAUACGCUCUUGCAUUGGACUUCAGUCCUAAGCAUUCGUUAACCAUUGUGAAAACACCUGUUGCUUUGGCGGCAUGCGCUCGCGCUGUCAGCCCGUCCGAGGCUCAACCAAAACUAUUUCUGUAAAUUUCUUGUCAGAAACGAAAAAGUAAAUCGUUAAAACUUUCAACAACGGAUCUCUUGGUUCUC
rnacentral:misc_RNA from 1 species